rnacentral:rRNA from 1 species
AUUGAACGCUGGCGGCAUGCCUUACACAUGCAAGUCGAACGGAUUGCUUGGUGCUUGCACUGAGUGGUUAGUGGCGAACGGGUGAGUAACACGUGAGUAACCUGCCCCCUUCUUUGGGAUAAGCACCUGAAAGGGUGUCUAAUACUGAUUAUUCUGCUGGAAUCGCAUGGUUUUGGUUGGAAAGGUUUUUUCUGGUGGGGGAUGGGCUCGCGGCUUAUCAGCUUGUUGGUGGGGUAAUGGCUUACCAAGGCUUUGACGGGUAACCGGCCUGAGAGGGUGAACGGUCACAUUGGGACUGAGAUACGGCCCAGACUCCUACGGGAGGCAGCAGUGGGGAAUAUUGCACAAUGGACGAAAGUCUGAUGCAGCGACGCCGCGUGAGGGAUGAAGGCCUUCGGGUUGUAAACCUUUUUCGCUUUUGACCAAGGCAGCAUUUUGGUGUUGUUGAGGGUAUGAGGUAAAGAAGCUCCGGCUAACUACGUGCCAGCCGCCGCAGUAAUAC